rnacentral:rRNA from 1 species
AGAUCAAUUAAUUGGUCGUGCCUCUGGUACGUACUGAUUUUAUUGGUUUCUCCCUUCUGACGAACCAUGAUGUCAUUAAUUUGGUGUCGUGGAGAAUCAGGACUGGUUUUACUUUGAAAAAAUUAGAGUGUUUAAAGCAAGCUAACGCUUGAAUACAUUAGCAUGGAAUAAUGAAAUAGGACGUUUGAUCCUAUUUUGUUGGUUUCUAGGAUCGACGUAAUG